rnacentral:rRNA from 1 species
UACGUAGGGGGCAAGCGUUGUCCGGAAUCAUUGGGCGUAAAGGGCGCGUAGGCGGAUGAUUAAGUCUGUUGUGAAAACCUGGGGCUCAACCCCGGGAUUGCAUCGGAAACUGGUUAUCUUGAGGACAGGAGAGGAAAGUGGAAUUCCACGUGUAGCGGUGAAAUGCGUAGAUAUGUGGAGGAACACCAGUGGCGAAGGCGACUUUCUGGACGUGAUAACUGACGCUGGAGGCGCGAAAGCGUGGGGAGCGAACAGGAUUGAGACCCUAC